UUUACUAGUGCACGGAGGCUCAUCUUCUUGGAAGUGUAACGUAACGAAAAUCCACAAUGGGUUAAAUAUGCUUAUGUCGACCACUUUAAAGAUCUAUUGCAGCUAGAUCGGAAUGGAACAGUGAGCCAGCCAGGGUUUGUAUAGUGGGGCAGGCGCUCACACGGACACGCACGCAGUUACGCUGUCAUCGACCGCCCGCUGCAAGACGACCAUCUACUUUGCAUCAGUGUGACAUCACGACACUACGAGCAUACGUUACGUGGUUAUGUAACGACGUAUGUGAACGUCAGCACCAUCGCCGAAGCGACCAAGCAGCGACGAGCAGGAACAAGUUGCAUCUGACUGGGGCGAGGCGCAGCUACCACCCAGGAUCUGCUGAGAGCAUCAGCGGCGAGCGAGUGCACGGAGGUCCGGACAGCGAGUUGGCCCCAAUAGCGGAGUGGACUGGAGGGCUAGACAUCUGAGGGGCUCGUGGGGACACGCCCCCGGGAUCCUGACGUCACCAGGACGAGCGUGCCGUGGAGACGCAGCAGGGACAUCCCACGACGAAAACACCACACACAACUGCCAAUGUCUCGGGCGGAAUCUAUUUACAUUGGUCUCUCCAUACAGGGACCUGACCCAUCAGGUGCACUAGUAGGCGAUGUCGAGUAUUGAUUAUUACGUGAACAUAAGCACAUUUGCUUACUGUUUGAGUCAUGAGUGAACGAGAUAAACUUCAUAUUUUUAAGUGAACCAAGAGAGUAACAGUAACUGAUUAUUUUUGUUUUAAUGUUUCUUAGUAUUGAGAAGAUAUUUUGUGCACAGAAUUCUUAAUAAUCAAGGAUAACCUAUUCGUUAAUAUUUGCAAAGAUAAUAAGCCGUAGUAUGUGGGUUGAGUAGGAAGUCAUUUAGGUCUUGCCUGCACCCUUGAAAACUUUGUGGAGCUACUUAGGGUAGUAGUUCGCAACAACAGUGUCGUGCACUUCUCACUCGUCUGCGCCAAGACACAGUCCCAACACACCAGUCUCCGCACACAAAGCCCGUCACUUGACAUCCGGUUAUCGCUCACCAACAGGUCAUUCGCCCUCUUCACUUCACCGCCUAGGAGGCUGGCGUCGCCGAUUUUAUACCCUUCAGCCCCCUUCUGGAAUGGUCUCGCAUCCCUUUGUGUCGCAGCAUCAGGGUCGACUUGACACCCAAAGCUCCCAGAACAAAGGCACGCCACUUCAAGAUACCACGAUCCAUGCUAUGCUGUCCGGGAGCCCACAGAAUCCUCCAGAGGCUGAGGUAUCGAUGGCAAAGCGCCGAGGACGGAGCCAGCAGGGGAAGGAGCGUACCAAGGCUGGGCUGACGAGGUUUGCGCUACGUAAUGCGCUGCGCCUCACUCGGGUGCCCUUGGGUCAGCUGACUGCUAACCCCCCUCAUCGCCCCAAGUAUGCUCAUAACAAUAAGUUAGAUUUUCUGGCUAUUUCCAAGUUCUUAGAAAAUUCAUUCUCAAUUUUCCAUACUAUUUACAUGAUUUCCUGCCCAAUUCACAAGCAUUUCUUGUAGUAUUUAUACAAAAAAAAAUUAUAAAAAAGUGCAUAGACUUUUUUAAAUACCUGGAAAUUUUAUAUCUCUAAAACACAUCAGCUGGAAUGAUCUGUAUUACUAAAGUAACAACUCAUAAAAACUUUUAAAAAAAAAAAAUCACACAAUUAUGUCAAAAGUAGAUGAAAUCCAAUAAAUUAUGUUAUUCUACACUAGCUGAAACUAAAGAUUGCUGACUGAUAUAGCAUCAGUUUGUGUGUUUGCUCCUCUCAUACUGCUUACAACAGCAGUCCACCCCAUAGAUGACACAAAUAAAACUAUUUGCAACAAAGACAAAUGAAGUUAAAUAUUUGACACCAUGAAUGUGAUGUAAUAACCAUUAAAUUCAAGUUCAUUCAGCUGCUGGUA